CAGGCAGGGGGCUGGAUGGGUAGGGUAGGAGAGCCCACUGACCCCUUCUGUCUCCCUAG
rnacentral:miRNA from 1 species